UUGACAUGUUCAAAGCAUUUUCCAUUGUUUUCCCUUGUAUACUCUGAUAGAAACUGAAGUGAGAUGCUCAAUAACCUUCUUGAAUAGAAAAGUAUGCAAAAAAAAAAUGGAGGAAAGGGGAGAGGGAAGAGAAAAUAGAAUAAAAGAAAAUUGCAAAAUGCUUGUAGACUAACAAAAACUUUUUUUUAUCUACUUUUAUUUGAUUUUCCCCAUUUUCUUUCAAUAAGCAUUCUGCCCAUUUUCAACACCAAGACCAUACAAAACACCAGCAUAUUUCUCAGGUGAGCCAUUAAAGAAAUUCAUUUUCAGUUUCAUGAAUGUACAAGAAGUAAGCAAACUAUCUGAACCCGCCUGGUGACAAAUGCCAAUCCUCUCCACUUCCAACAACUCUGCCAGCUUGUUCAACCCACCAUGAAGGCUAUUGCAGAAUUUCAUCAAAUGCUUAAUAUCAUAAAGCACUGGAAAAUACAACUUGAUCAGCUUAAAGAAUUCCACUUGAGUGUCCGGUAGAUUCUUGCAAGUAAGCAGCUUUAGCAAGUAUCCAAAAUCAUACCCACUGUGAAAUGUAACCCAAUGAACACUAUCAUUCAAAACAAUCCCCGAAGACAUUAGCAGUUCACUAAACCUAUUAGCAUCAACACCCAUUUCAAAGUUCUUAAUGAAAUCAAUGCCACUUUGAGAUAACAGUUCAAUAGAAUCGUUAGCAUAGACAUCUUCAUUGGGAUUAAACUCGCAGAAAUUGAAUUGCCAUACACAGUGCUUAUCUGUUCCACAGGUAGGUAAGUUGCCUUUCUCAUCAGAGAAUGUAAGACCCAUUUGAAUUAGCUUCAAGAGAUCAACAUUUGCCUUAAGAGUCUGAUAGUUAUACUCAAAAAUAUUUUUGAAAGUUCCUAUCGGACGCAGUACAAUACCAGGGAACUCAGUAUCCAUAGCAAUGUAAGGAAAAUCAUCAACAAUAUCACGAAUUAAUUCAAACUCCCUUUCAAGAUUAUCGCUCCAUACUUCUCGGAUAAUAACAGAAUCGCCUUUGGGAAAAUUUGACAUCUUCCUAUCGAAACACAGAUGUCACAGAAUCCAAAAGUAGACAGCAAAAACCCAGCUUCAAACAUAAACCUAAAUUUGCAGACAACAUCAAAAAGCCUAAACACAUGUUGAAAACCCAAAUAAAACCCUAAAUCAAAUGAAAAAACCGAAAUUAAAUGGUGAAAAGGGGUGAAAGAUCAUACCUUCAGACCGAAAAGGUGCGAAAAUGAUUGAAUGGGAUUCGGGGACAAGAACAAGAAAAAGGGAUUUUUCUAGGGAAAAUGAGGAAUUUUCUAGAGGUUCCUUGUAAGAGGGUUUUGCAGAGAGCAGAAGAUGAAGAGAGAAUUUGUAUUACAGAGAAAAAUUUGGCGAGAGAGAGAGAGAGAGAGCGA
rnacentral:misc_RNA from 1 species